UUGUUUGAUUAAAUGCCUGAAAGGGAUGUACCUUCCUGGAAUUCUAUAAUUGCUGGAUGCAAUCAGAAUGGGUUGUUUUCAGAAGCGAUCUUGUACCUUAGAAGAAUUUUGGGCUCAUUCGGGUUGCAGCUUAGACCAAAUGAAGUAACUUUAACAAUGAGAAUAAGUGAAUUCCAUGAGAAGAUAUGAAGCAGCUAGUUGGCUUAGGAAAAAUGUGGGGUUGUCGCCGCUAGAGACCUGCCGGCGGAGCCCUCUGAAGAAGAGUUUAGGCUUGGUUUGAGAAGUGGAUUGAUCCUUUGCAAUGUCCUUAACAAGGUCCAACCUGGAGCUGUGCCAAAGGUGGUGGAGAGCCCUACAGAUUCUACUCUUCUUCCUGAUGGAUCAGCUUUAUUAGCUUAUCAGUACUUUGAAAAUGUGAGGAACUUUCUUGUAGCAGCAGAAAAUAUGGGGCUUCCUACAUUUGAGGCAUCUGAUCUCGAGCAAGUAAGGAUUUAGUAUUUUACUGCUGCUAAGAUGUCUUACAGUGUUUUAAA